rnacentral:rRNA from 2 species
UUAAGCGACUAAGUGUACACGGUGGAUGCCCUGGCAGUCAGAGGCGAUGAAGGACGUGCUAAUCUGCGAUAAGCGUCGGUAAGGUGAUAUGAACCGUUAUAACCGGCGAUUUCCGAAUGGGGAAACCCAGUGUGUUUCGACACACUAUCAUUAACUGAAUCCAUAGGUUAAUGAGGCGAACCGGGGGAACUGAAACAUCUAAGUACCCCGAGGAAAAGAAAUCAACCGAGAUUCCCCCAGUAGCGGCGAGCGAACGGGGAGGAGCCCAGAGCCUGAAUCAGUGUGUGUGUUAGUGGAAGCGUCUGGAAAGGCGCGCGAUACAGGGUGACAGCCCCGUACACAAAAAUACACAUAUUGUGAGCUCGAUGAGUAGGGCGGGACACGUGGUAUCCUGUCUGAAUAUGGGGGGACCAUCCUCCAAGGCUAAAUACUCCUGACUGACCGAUAGUGAACCAGUACCGUGAGGGAAAGGCGAAAAGAACCCCGGCGAGGGGAGUGAAAAAGAACCUGAAACCGUGUACGUACAAGCAGUGGGAGCACGCUUAGGCGUGUGACUGCGUACCUUUUGUAUAAUGGGUCAGCGACUUAUAUUCUGUAGCAAGGUUAACCGAAUAGGGGAGCCGAAGGGAAACCGAGUCUUAACUGGGCGUUAAGUUGCAGGGUAUAGACCCGAAACCCGGUGAUCUAGCCAUGGGCAGGUUGAAGGUUGGGUAACACUAACUGGAGGACCGAACCGACUAAUGUUGAAAAAUUAGCGGAUGACUUGUGGCUGGGGGUGAAAGGCCAAUCAAACCGGGAGAUAGCUGGUUCUCCCCGAAAGCUAUUUAGGUAGCGCCUCGUGAAUUCAUCUCCGGGGGUAGAGCACUGUUUCGGCAAGGGGGUCAUCCCGACUUACCAACCCGAUGCAAACUGCGAAUACCGGAGAAUGUUAUCACGGGAGACACACGGCGGGUGCUAACGUCCGUCGUGAAGAGGGAAACAACCCAGACCGCCAGCUAAGGUCCCAAAGUCAUGGUUAAGUGGGAAACGAUGUGGGAAGGCCCAGACAGCCAGGAUGUUGGCUUAGAAGCAGCCAUCAUUUAAAGAAAGCGUAAUAGCUCACUGGUCGAGUCGGCCUGCGCGGAAGAUGUAACGGGGCUAAACCAUGCACCGAAGCUGCGGCAGCGACGCUUAUGCGUUGUUGGGUAGGGGAGCGUUCUGUAAGCCUGCGAAGGUGUGCUGUGAGGCAUGCUGGAGGUAUCAGAAGUGCGAAUGCUGACAUAAGUAACGAUAAAGCGGGUGAAAAGCCCGCUCGCCGGAAGACCAAGGGUUCCUGUCCAACGUUAAUCGGGGCAGGGUGAGUCGACCCCUAAGACGAGGCCGAAAGGCGUAGUCGAUGGGAAACAGGUUAAUAUUCCUGUACUUGGUGUUACUGCGAAGGGGGGACGGAGAAGGCUAUGUUGGCCGGGCGACGGUUGUCCCGGUUUAAGCGUGUAGGCUGGUUUUCCAGGCAAAUCCGGAAAAUCAAGGCUGAGGCGUGAUGACGAGGCACUACGGUGCUGAAGCAACAAAUGCCCUGCUUCCAGGAAAAGCCUCUAAGCAUCAGGUAACAUCAAAUCGUACCCCAAACCGACACAGGUGGUCAGGUAGAGAAUACCAAGGCGCUUGAGAGAACUCGGGUGAAGGAACUAGGCAAAAUGGUGCCGUAACUUCGGGAGAAGGCACGCUGAUAUGUAGGUGAAGUCCCUUGCGGAUGGAGCUGAAAUCAGUCGAAGAUACCAGCUGGCUGCAACUGUUUAUUAAAAACACAGCACUGUGCAAACACGAAAGUGGACGUAUACGGUGUGACGCCUGCCCGGUGCCGGAAGGUUAAUUGAUGGGGUCAGCGCAAGCGAAGCUCUUGAUCGAAGCCCCGGUAAACGGCGGCCGUAACUAUAACGGUCCUAAGGUAGCGAAAUUCCUUGUCGGGUAAGUUCCGACCUGCACGAAUGGCGUAAUGAUGGCCAGGCUGUCUCCACCCGAGACUCAGUGAAAUUGAACUCGCUGUGAAGAUGCAGUGUACCCGCGGCAAGACGGAAAGACCCCGUGAACCUUUACUAUAGCUUGACACUGAACAUUGAGCCUUGAUGUGUAGGAUAGGUGGGAGGCUUUGAAGUGUGGACGCCAGUCUGCAUGGAGCCGGCCUUGAAAUACCACCCUUUAAUGUUUGAUGUUCUAACGUGGACCCGUGAUCCGGGUUGCGGACAGUGUCUGGUGGGUAGUUUGACUGGGGCGGUCUCCUCCUAAAGAGUAACGGAGGAGCACGAAGGUUGGCUAAUCCUGGUCGGACAUCAGGAGGUUAGUGCAAUGGCAUAAGCCAGCUUGACUGCGAGCGUGACGGCGCGAGCAGGUGCGAAAGCAGGUCAUAGUGAUCCGGUGGUUCUGAAUGGAAGGGCCAUCGCUCAACGGAUAAAAGGUACUCCGGGGAUAACAGGCUGAUACCGCCCAAGAGUUCAUAUCGACGGCGGUGUUUGGCACCUCGAUGUCGGCUCAUCACAUCCUGGGGCUGAAGUAGGUCCCAAGGGUAUGGCUGUUCGCCAUUUAAAGUGGUACGCGAGCUGGGUUUAGAACGUCGUGAGACAGUUCGGUCCCUAUCUGCCGUGGGCGCUGGAGAACUGAGGGGGGCUGCUCCUAGUACGAGAGGACCGGAGUGGACGCAUCACUGGUGUUCGGGUUGUCAUGCCAAUGGCACUGCCCGGUAGCUAAAUGCGGAAGAGAUAAGUGCUGAAAGCAUCUAAGCACGAAACUUGCCCCGAGAUGAGUUCUCCCUGACCCUUUAAGGGUCCUGAAGGAACGUUGAAGACGACGACGUUGAUAGGCCGGGUGUGUAAGCGCAGCGAUGCGUUGAGCUAACCGGUACUAAUGAACCGUGAGGCUUAACCUU